AUACGGAGGGUGCGAGCGUUAAUCGGAAUUACUGGGCGUAAAGCGUACGUAGGCGGUUGGUUAAGUUAGAUGUGAAAGCCCCGGGCUUAACCUGGGAACUGCAUUUAAAACUGGCGAACUAGAGUUGAGUAGAGGGGAGUGGAAUUUCAGGUGUAGCGGCGAAAUGCGUAGAGAUCUGAAGGAACACCAGUGGCGAAGGCGACUCCCUGGACUCGAACUGACGCUGAGGUACGAAAGCGUGGGUAGCAAACGGGAUUAGAAACCCGGGUAGUCC
rnacentral:rRNA from 1 species